AGGUUAAAUAAUGGUUCAAAAGCUACUAAAGUGUUUACCACAAACCUUGGUAAAUCACCUUGAAUGACACACACACACACAAUAUUUGGUGUUCAAAGCAGCUUUACAGGCUCAGAAAUGCUACCUGUAUCCCCAGCAGAUAGAGUGGGGGUCAGUGUGGCACUCUUGGUCAGGGUCUUCCGGAGGGAAGCUGGAUCGUCAUUCUCUCAAAGAAGACCUCGACUAAGAAGCCCUGACGCCACAAGCAUCAAGGACAGACCCUCUGCAGAGGAGAGAUCAGAGCUGUCAUUGUUUGGCUAAAAAGAUCCUCAGUGGCAAAGACUGUUUUGCGAGAGAAGCAACAUCUCCUUAGCCUGCCUCAUAUGUUGCAUCAAGUGACAAUACUCUAACCUGAGGCCAAGUCCUUCCUAUCCUGAAGAAACUUGAAGAACACUUCAAAUUUCAAGAGGAGGACACACUCUUUGUGGCUGGAAUAAAGCAGAAGGUUUGGGCAGAUCUGUCCAAGUGGUACCAGAUACAUCAAACUGUAAAUGACAAUACCAUCUGUAUUUUUCUGAGAAUUUCCUAUAAUUUAUUUUGAAAAUUAAGAUGUAUUGAAAUUCCAAAUAAAGAUUACUGCUUAGUGCUUAAAA